rnacentral:rRNA from 1 species
AUGCACAAAAAAAACAAGUUGAUUGUUGGUCUAGCCCCGGACCCGAUCCCAGAUGGGGUCGCGGUGCUGCAGUAUGCGGAUGAUACCAUUAUCUGUAUGGAGCAUGAUGUGGAGAAAGCAGUUAACCUGAAAUUGCUGCUCUAUAUGUUUGAAAUGAUGUCUGGCCUCAAAAUAAAUUUCCAGAAGAGUGAGAUACUAACGGUUGGUGGAGAUGAAAGUAUUAUCAGAGAGUACGUAGAGCUCUUUAAUUGUGACAUUGGCAGUUUCCCGAUUAAAUAUUUGGGGAUGCCAGUCAGCUACACCAACCUUAGAACCUCUGACUGGGAGUUCAUCAUUGUUAAAUAUCUUAAGAGGUUUGAGGCCUGGAUAGGCAAUGCUGCUUCAAUGGGGGGCAGGCUCACUUUGCUUGAUUCUGUCCUCACCCAACUGUCUAUCUUCCAUAUGGCUAUGUGGCUCAUGAAUAAAACAUUCAUUGAAAAGCUUGAUAAACAUAGACGGAGAUUCUUCUGGUAG